UACGUGUGCGGCGAGCGUUAUUCGUCUUUACUGGGUCUAAAGGGCGCGUAGGCGGAUAGUUUAGUCAGAGGUGAAAGCCCAGGGCUCAACCUUGGAAUUGCCUUUGAUACUGGCUAUCUUGAGUUCGGGAGAGGUGAGUGGAAUGCCGAGUGUAGAGGUGAAAUUCGUAGAUAUUCGGCGGAACACCAGUGGCGAAGGCGACUCACUGGCCCGAUACUGACGCUGAGGCGCGAAAGCGUGGGGAGCAAACAGG
rnacentral:rRNA from 1 species